UGCUAUUUGGGUGCUUUUCAAGGU
rnacentral:siRNA from 1 species